rnacentral:ncRNA from 1 species
GACAGGGGUGCUGGUUUUCAUGCCGGCUGAGAGACGGAUAGACCGUCAACCCUCAAACCUGAUCUGGGUAAUGCCAGCGUAGGAAGAGAUCA